rnacentral:rRNA from 1 species
UAUUUUUUUAUAAAUUAUGUUUUUGUUUAUUUAAAAAAUUAAGAAAAAUAAUUUUGUUUUUAGUAUUUUUAAGAAAAAAAUUCUUUUUUUAUAUAUUUAGUACUGUGAAGGAAUUAAUUAAUUUAAUUUGAAUUAGCUAUUUUUAGUGUACCUUUUGUAUCAGGGUUUAUUAAAUUUUAUAAUUUAUUUUUAUUUUCUCGAAAUUUUAAGAUUUAUAUUAAUAUGUUAAUUUAUGUAGUAAUAUGUUUAAUAAUGUUAAUAUAGUGAAUAUAUUUUAUUCAAUUAAAAAUAUCUAGUUUUUUGAUAAUUGGGUUUAAUCCAUAAGUAGGUGUAUAAAUACUUAUAUUUAGACUUACUUAUAUUUAAAAAAGGAUAAGCUUUUUUAAAUAUCUAUAAAAAGUUAUUUAUGUAUUUAUUGUAGGAUUAAUAAUAUCCAUCUUUUAUUUUGUAAAAAUUAUUUUUAUGGAAAUUUUUAUUUUUUAUUUUUUUAGAUUUAUAUCAAAAUAAUAAAUUUAAUUUAUAUGUUUUUGAAAAAAUGAUAAAAUUAGUAUAUUUUUAAAAUGAAUUAUAGUAAUUCGGCAAAUAUAAUUUUCACCUGUUUAACAAAAACAUGGUCUUUUGUUUAUAUAAAAGAUCUGGCCUGCCCAAUGAUUAUUUUAAUGGCUGCAGUAUUUUGACUGUACAAAGGUAGCAUAAUCACUUGUCUUUUAAUUGAAGUCUGGUAUGAAUGGUUAGAUGAAAAAUUUACUUUCUUUAUUUUAUAGAUAAAAAUUGAUUUCUUGAUUAAAAAGUCUAGAUGUAUUUAUAGGACGAGAAGACCCUAUAGAGCUUAACUCCCCUUGUUUUAAUUAUUUACUUGUAAAUAAUUUUUUAUUAUUUUAAGGGGAGUUUUAUUGGGGUGAUAAAAAAAAUCUUUUAACUUUUUUUACUUUUCCCAUUUAUUUAUGGAUUUUUGAUCCUUUAUUAAGGAUAAAAAGAUUAAGUUACCUUAGGGAUAACAGCGUUAUUAUUUUAGAGAGUUCAUAUUAAUAAAAUAGUUUGCGACCUCGAUGUUGGAUUAAAAUUAGUGUCAGGGGUAUAAUAUUGAUUACUAGGUCUGUUCGACCUUUAAAUUUUUACAUGAUCUGAGUUCAGACCGGCGUGAGCCAGGUCGGUUUCUAUCCUUAAAUUUUUAAAAAAGUUUAGUACGAAAGGACCAAUUUUUUGAAAUAUUUUUUGUUGUUUUGACUUGAAUU